rnacentral:rRNA from 1 species
UACGGAGGGUGCAAGCGUUAUCCGGAAUCAUUGGGUUUAAAGGGUCCGCAGGCGGUCUUAUAAGUCAGUGGUGAAAGCCUACAGCUCAACUGUAGAACUGCCAUUGAUACUGUAAGACUUGAAUUCGAUCGAAGUGGGCGGAAUAUGACAUGUAGCGGUGAAAUGCUUAGAUAUGUCAUAGAACACCGAUAGCGAAGGCAGCUCACUAGGUCUGGAUUGACGCUCAGGGACGAAAGCGUGGGGAGCAAAAGGG